rnacentral:rRNA from 1 species
UAUGCCUACGGGGGGCAGCAGUGGGGAAUAUUGCACAAUGGAGGGAACUCUGAUGCAGCGACGCCGCGUGAGUGAAGAAGUAAUUCGUUAUGUAAAGCUCUAUCAGCAGGGAAGAAAGUGACGGUACCUGACUAAGAAGCCCCGGCUAACUACGUGCCAGCAGCCGCGGUAAUACGUAGGGGGCAAGCGUUAUCCGGAUUUACUGGGUGUAAAGGGUGCGUAGGUGGCAGGGCAAGUCAGAUGUGAAAGCCCGGGGCUCAACCCCGGUACUGCAUUUGAAACUGUCCAGCUGGAGUGCAGGAGAG